AAACUUGAGAGAACCAGGAUGCAGCAUUUAUGCUAUUUUUGAACCUCAAAUGAAAGUGUGAAGUUCAUACUAACUUACUUUUAUUGCAGGAACUGUGCAGCCCUAUAUGACUAACUUGGAAACAAACACGUGUAGCCCCAGCAUCCUAUCCAGGAAUUACCAUCAACCCAAGCGUGGAGAGCCUUGGGUUGAAGUAAAAUUCAAAGACGAAAAUCAGGUGAAGGUGCAGGUGGUUACUUCUCCUUCAAUACGCCUUCCCAAAUAACCCAAUGCAUCAAUUGAAGACACUGGAAGCCCUGAGAAGUUGAUGCAUCUCUUGGCCCUUUUGUUACUGAAAAGCCUGGUGAUCAGACAAUACAAUUCCUUUUACUCAUUCUAUUCGUCCCAUGAUAUAAAGAUUGUAUUUUUCCUUGUCUUAGAGAAUCAGAUUCCUCUCCUUCAACUGUUCCUCUAAGAAGAAAGAAGAAGAAGAAGAAGAAGAUAAGAGUAAUUUACCUAUAGGGGUCUUCUGCCAUAGGGCACAAAAGCAGAGCUGCAGAGGAAUUGGAUGGAUAUGGUUCCUCACCGAUCAUAGAUAUGUUGGGAAUCAAGACAUCCUGAUCCAAGUAUUUCUGCAAAUAGAAUAUUAUGAAUGAUAUAAUCAUGGUUUUGCAAUGUGCAGAUAGUGUUUCAGGGAUUCUUCACUGUCAAGCAUAGCUUCUGAUCAAUACCAAUUCAUCUUGGACAUUACAAUUAGAAUUUCACCUAAGUCUGGUGUCUUGGUGGGGCCUUUGUUAGCAAAGUAUGGCCGUAUUACAAAUAUGUGCGUGAGAUUCCAUUUGCUCUGACGGGUUCACUUAGUCUUGCAAAAGCAACAGCAGAGGGAAAGAUCUGAGUCCAGUAGAUUGCC